rnacentral:rRNA from 1 species
CCCUUAGAUGUUCUGGGCUGCACGCGCGCUACACUGAUGCGUUCAACGAGUCCAUGACCUUGCCCGGCAGGGUUGGGUAAUCUUCUGAAAACGCAUCGUGAUGGGGAUAGAUUAUUGCAAUUAUUAAUCUUCAACGAGGAAUUCCUAGUAAGCGCGAGUCAUCAGCUCGUGCUGAUUACGUCCCUGCCCUUUGUACACACCGCCCGUCGCUCCUACCGAUUGAGUGGUCCGGUGAGGCUUUGGGAUCUGAGCGGAAAGAGCGUUUCGCUGUUUCUGCUCGGAAAACUCAGUCGAACCUUAUCAUUUAGAGGAAGGAGAAGUCGUAACA